UUCGAUUAUGGCUCCAGAUUGAACGCGCGGGUCUUUACGUAAGUCAGGGCAGCGGCGAACUGAGUCUGGUGGCGGAAAUGGCGACAGGUGGUAUGGAACUGUGCCUAGUAGCGGGGGAUAACUACGCGAAAGCGUAGCUAAUACCACCAUACGCCCUUCGGGGGAAAGCAGGGGACCUUCGGACCUCCGCACUAUUCUGAAGCGGCCGAUAUCGGAUUAGCUAGUUGGUGGGGUAACGGCUCACGCAAGGCGACGAUCCGUAGCUGGUUUGAGAGGACGACCAGCCACCUGGACUGGACAGCCAGAUAUGGGAGGCAGCGGUGGGUGCAGACUAAUGGAAACCUGAUCCAGCCAUCCCGCGUGUGCGAUAGAAGGCCUUCGGGUUGUAAAGCACUUUUGGCAGGAAAGAAACGGCCUGGGAUAAUACCCCGUGCAACUGACGGUACCUGCAGAAUAAGCACCGGCUAACCUGCGUUUGCCAGCAGCCGCGGUAGCCGCUGGGUCACCGCGUUAAUCGGAAUUACUGGGCGUAAGCGUGCGCAUGACGGUUCGGAAGAUGUGAAGUCCCAGAGCUUAACUUUGGAACAUUUUUAACUGCCGAGCUAGAGUGUGUCAGAGAGUGGAGUGCGCGUGUAGCAGUGUGCGUAGAUAUGCGGAGGAACACCGAUGGCAGGCAGCCUCCUGGGAUAACACUGACGCUCAUGCGAAAGCGUGGGGGAGCAAACAGGAUUAGAUACCCUGGUAGUCCACGCCUGCUAAACGAUAUCGCUUCAUUGUUGAGGUGCCCUGGGCGUGACAGUAGCCCGCAAGCUAACGCGUGGUGGCCGCCGGGGAAGUACGGUCGCAAGAUUAAAACUCAAGGAGUUGACGGGGACCCGCACAAGCGGUGGAUGAUGUGGAUUAAUUAGAUACAACGCGAAAAGCUACUACCCUGACAUGUCUGGUCCCGAAGGGUGGGGUAUGCCAAGAGAACCGGAACACAGGUGCUGCAUGGCUGUCAAUCGCUCGUAUAUUGAGAUAUUGGAGUUAAGUCCGCAACAGGCGCAACCCUUGUCAUUAGUUGCUACGAAGGCAUCUAAUGAGACUGCCGGUGACAAACCGGAGGAAGGUGGGGAUGACGUCAAGUCCUCAUGGCCCUUAUGGGUAGGGCUACGUCAUACAAUGGUCGGGACAGAGGGUCGCCAACCCGCGAGGGGAGCCAAUCCCAGAAACCCGAUCGUAGUCCGGAUCGCAGUCUGCAACUCGACUGCGUGAAGUCAGAAUCGCUGUUAAUCGCGGAUCAGCAUGUCGCGGUGAAUACGUUCCCGGAUGUGCCACGCCCGUCUUCGCGGUGGUUUUGCCAAAUGCAGUUAUGCUAACCGUAAGGAGAGCGAUUACCACGGUAGGAUUCAUGACUGGGGUGAAGUCGUAACAAGGUAG
rnacentral:rRNA from 1 species